GAUUUCAUCUAAGAUGCAAGUACUAAUUGCUAACUGCUCAUUGCUAAUACUAACAAGAAAAAAGAAACAAACAAAAAAAACAAACAAACAAAAAACAUCAAAGACACCGGUACUACUUUACACUGCAGCCUUACCUGAGAUGGCCGCAUGGUCCCAAAGAGAUUCUAACAGGCCACUCCCCCACCUUAUCUACACUUCCUCUUCCUGGAUCUCUGCCCAUUGGGGGAGGGAAAAGAGGGCGUGGAAAGCAGAGUGAAGGAGAGAGCUUGUCCUUCCCCUCACCGCCCCUAUUUUACCCCCUAGCUAUUAUUAAGCCGAGAUUCCACAAGCAUCUACUCGGCGCGGUGCGGCUCGUCUCGGUUUAGUUGUUUUUCCAUAUCGCCUCAUCGUGGGUGGAGUCGUCAUAGCACGGCGAGCCUAAAGUCCCUUAACGUCAUUUGUGUGCGACACAAACGCAACAUAGCGGAGGCGAUGGUUCACGUGCUGCUCAGUCUGUGGCUUUCUGUCAGAUUCAAAGUAAUAGAAGAGUCGGAGAAAACUGAGAGCGGCGAGUCGAAACACUCAGGAGACACUCAGGAGAGUUUGGGAGGCGAUGCAGCAGUAUCAAGCCGAAGACAAGAGGAUAUGAACUAGACGACAUAUAAGGAUGGCUGUCUUGUGAGACUUCAUGGGAUUUACCUGAAGCAGCAACACAUGAGCCUGUAGUGGCACAAGGUGUAGAGGAGGAGAACAGAGAUGUACAGGAUGCACUGAUGCACUACGUGUCAUGCAAAAGUUAAGUUAUUCUUCUCGAUAUACUUCUGUUUUUCUGUCCCCGGACCGCUAUUGUUUUCUUUAAUGCAAUUCUGACAAUAAACUUUUGUACCUUUUGCA